rnacentral:lncRNA from 1 species
AUGUCAAAUCCCUGGAACGCUCCAAUGUGCAGACAGCAGGAGAAUGUUAUGACAGAAAGACAGAGAUGGGCUCUGGCAAAGGACAGCCUAAAGGGGGGGAAAGAAAAGAUGAAAAGACAGAAGGAGAAUCCUCUGUGCAGCGCUUGGGAGGGUUCCGAACCAGAUAAUGGACCCAGCGAUGAGAAUGAAUUUCACGGACGCCAGAGGGUUAGAAGAGAGUUAAACCUGAACUGCAGAUGUUUGGAUGUGAGGAAUAUCGUAGUGUCGCCCCAUUUGAUAACUGGGCCACGGUCCUAUGCAGUAGAAGAAGUGGGGGAUGGGAUGGAGAUAGAGGAGAAGCUCACUGCCAAUCUCGUUCCUCUCCCAGUGAAAUCUCCUAGACAGCUCCAGAAUAACCCCUGCUGGGAGAGAUUUAACACGUCCAAUUCCAACUGUGCUCAGACGCAUUCCGAAACGGGCGUCGACGAUCCUCCACCUCAGAAGAAUAGAAAAGUUGCUCAAAGCAAAAAAUAUUCCUCACCGCAAUCUGAACAAACAAACAUCAAACAACAGAGACUGAAGCAGCGACUGCUGCCACUGACCAGGUCCCAUUGGGGCCCAGCCUCUUCAUGUGUUUUGUGUGUAGAGCAGUCUGCAGAGGAACUAGCAGUGCCAUGGCGGUGUAGGGCGAUGGUGGCACAGAACCCUGAACCAUCUCGGCUCCCUUCCAGAAUCCUGCCAAACCUCCAAAACACAAUUAGAGCAUCUGGCUGUGAGAUACUGGAGCUGUGCCGACGUAUGUCCUCUAGGAUGAACUAUGUGAACCAUGUGAGCCCGACCACAUCUGGAACUGGAACAAGACCGGUGGGUUGGAGGUUGCUUGGGAAGCCCGUCGGUGACAGCGGAGCACAGGUGCGGGUCAGUCAACCAGAACACCACUCCUGGAAAGUGAGAAAGUUCUCUGGGGCAUCAGUUGACAGCCACAGUCUCACCAGCCUUCUGCAUAAUAGUGAUUGUGGUUCUGGUGUAUCCAGGGAAAGCCAGACCCAGACACAUCUUCCAGAUACUGGGCUCUCUGGCUGUGCUAAAGACAGCAAAGGAGACAGCCAACAGCAUGGACGGAAGGUCAGCGGAUCCAGGAGGGACCAGAGAGGUGGAGGUGGGGUUGGAAAAGUGAGACAGAUGCCCAGAGAAGAAUCCUUGCGGUGGGGUGAAGGAUCAACAUGGCCUUGGGACUCCGAGAGUCAGUCAAGGAACCAGCGGCAGAACGAGUCCCCAACAGACUGUGAUGUCACCCUACUGCACAUUGUGCAUCUUUUACAGUGUAGGUCAGUCAAUCUGUCUCAUGUCAGGGAAGAAGGACAAUUUGGAGAUGAUUUUCAACAUAUCCUUCACAACAGACAAACUUGACUCAAGCAAAUAGCAAGAUAUUUAGUAUUCAGAGUAGGUUAGUGAAUGGACAGGAGGAGCGAGCAAUCUUGAUAUAAUUAUUUUUUAUUCCAAGACUGUAAAUUGAAUUUUGUCUACAGUGUAAAAGGUCAUGAUAAAAAGACAAAGGAAUGAAAUAGAAGUUUGGUAAAACAACUGGGUGACCAGAAUAUCAACAACAUCCAUACAAAAUGAUUCACUAUGCUAAAUAAUGACAAUGUAACAGUCUGACUUCAAACCAGGGAAGAACAAGAAGAAAAACCUGUCAUUUAAAAAAAGAUCAGUAGCUAGGUUGCAUGAAAGUCUUGUCUAUGGACCAAAAGUUUAACAAAAAGGUAUGAAUGUGUAGAUUAGCAAAAAGGUAUGAAUGUGUAGUUUAACAAAAAGGUAUGAAUGUGUAGUUUAACAAAAAGGUAUGAAUGUGUAAUUUAACAAAAAGGUAUGAAUGUUAGGUUAACAAAAGGUAUGAAUGUCUAGUUUAACCAAU